GUCAAGUUUUUAAGAGCGCACGGUGGAUGCCUGGGCAUCAGGAGCCGAUGAAGGACGUAGGAGGCUGCGAUAAGCCUCGGGGAGCUGUCAACCGAGCUGUGAUCCGAGGAUUUCCGAAUGGGGAAACCCAGCACGAGUCAUGUCGUGUUACCUGCACCUGAACACAUAGGGUGUGUGGAGGGAACGUGGGGAAGUGAAACAUCUCAGUACCCACAGGAAGAGAAAACAACCGUGAUUCCGUGAGUAGUGGCGAGC
rnacentral:rRNA from 14 species